CGGGGUUGCAGGCCCGAGCGGAAGCACAGGUUCGCGGCUUCGCGUGCUUGCGGCUUGUGGGUAGGAUUGCCGGCGUGUUUGCAGGGGUGUCGGGUCCGGUACCGGUGGUGACGAGUGGCAGUGUGGCACGAAGCGUGGAUGGUCAAGAAGUGUUGUUACAGAGCAGUGGAGUUACCAGGUACCACUUUUAACAGUACCGCCUACCACUGUUACUGGGACGCACGCGCUUUCCCACCGGCGUGCCACCACUCGAGUAACGACCCGACGCCACACUCAGCCGCCUACCUAUCACGCGCUCUGACUCCCAGCCUCCCCGGCGACGGCGCCGCAAAUGACAGCGCGAUGGGUGGCCGUGUGGCGGCGUGCGCCAUACCUUGACUGUGAUGAGCCCCGCCCGGGCCCUGCCAACCGCCUCCACAUCUACUCACCACCCCGAGAACACGUUCCACUCAACGGCACAACACAUAUUAUGGUGCCUUCGCCCACCCGCUUAGACAGCGCGGCAGCCCUAGUUGGGCUUGGCGGGAGUUUCAUCGCAUUGUGGGCCUACAUGUUGGAACGCCUGGAAGGCUAGAAUACGAUGAGGUUCACGGCACGCAGGGCAGCCCUUACCCACCAACCACGCGUCCCCACGCUGUGAUAUGACCCACGAGGCCACGAUGACCCGACGCAGCCUCCUGCCUACAUCCAAUAGGCAAAUGGUCACAUGCCUUUCCAAGUUCCAGGGCGUUCAAUCAGGGAGCCGACGGUGUGAGGGCUCCCUCAGGCCCCUUUGACCGCUUGUUACCGGUGCUGGAUAGCUCGCUCGUUGGCUGCGUCUGCAGGUCCCUCGUACCUUACCUUGUAAUGAACACCCCUUGCCAACACCCUCUUUUCAUAACUCUGCAGGAGCUGGUGGAGGCGCGCGCGACGGAUAUGGAGGCGCGCGACCAGCCGCAGACGCUUGGCGGCGUGGCGUACGGCUGCCCGCUGGGGGUGCUGCAGGUCUACUACGCCCGCUGGGGUGCGGAGGGCGCGGCCGGCAGCCGACACAAGCGGCAGCUGCUGCUGCGUGCCCUGGCCAGCCCCACGCCCGACUGGGCCGCAAAGUGAGUCCUCGAGCCAUUGUUAGGCUGCAGAACGACCGCAACAUAUUCAAGGAAGUCAGUUAUUACCAAGGCACUUGGAAUGGGUCCAGCCGGGAUUCGGAUGGGGCGGGUGUGGAGGGAAUUCUGAGGCCUGCGCCUCCCGCACCUACCCCGUACCCCCGCCUCCCCCCGCCCCACCCCACCGCCACCUCCCUUCCUGCACCUGCCCAGUCCGCUGCCCCUGCCCCUGCCCCUGCCCCUGCCCCUGCCCCUGCCCCUGCCCCUGCCCCUGCCCCUGCCCCUGCCCCUGCCCCUGCCCCUGCCCCUGCCCCUGCCCCUGCCCCUGCCCCUGCCCCUGCCCCUGCCCCUGCCCCUGCCCCUGCCCCUGCCCCUGCCCCUGCCCCUGCCCCUGCCCCUGCCCCUGCCCCUGCCCCUGCCCCUGCCCCUGCCCCUGCCCCUGCCCCUGGCCCUGCCCCUGCCCCUGCCCCUGCCCCUGCCCCUGCCCCUGCCCCUGCCCCUGCCCCUGCCCCUGCCCCUGCCCCUGCCCCUGCCCCUGCUGCCCCUGCCCCUGCCCCUGCCCCUGCCCCUGCCCCUGCCCUUACCUCCCUGCCCCUACCUCCCUGCCCCUACCCCACCUUCCUGCCCCUACCCGACCUCCUUACCCCCACCGCCCUACCCCACCGCCCUACCCCUACCCCUCCCCCCACCUCCCUACCUCCCUACCGCCCUUCCCCACCGCCCUCCCCCCACUUCCACCUCCCCACCUCCCCACCUCCCUACCGCCCUACUGCCGCAGGUGCGACUGGCUGCUGCUCCAGUGGGCGGCGGUGACGGGGUGGCCGGGGGCCGAGGAGCGGGAGCUGGGCGGCGGCACGUUCGAGGGCUGGAUGCACGCCGCCUGGCAGCCCGACUACCUACAGCGGCUGCUGCUGCUGGCGGGGCACGGCUUCGGGCUGUGCCUCAACGCUGCAGAGGCCGCCGCCGCGGCAGGCAACGUGCCCGCCGCCGCGUACUGUCUGGACCAGCAGAGCAGCCGGCAGCAGCAGCGGCAGCCGCGGCAGCAGCAGCAGGCGCAGCAGGCGCAGCAGGCGCAGCCGCAGGUGCAGCCGCAGGUGCAGCCGCAGGCGCAGCAGGCGCAGCAGGCGCAGCAGGCGCAGCAGGCGCAGCGGCAGCGGCGGCAGCAGCAAGAGCACCGGGGUACAUCUGCAACCAGUGACAACGUGCCGCAACCCGACCAGCACCAGCACCCGCACCAACCGCAUCAGCACCAGCACUACAAGCUACAGGCCCCGGUGGCGCAGACGCCCCAGGACCCCAACCAACCCAACCGACCCAACCAGCCGGACCAAUCCAACCAGCAGGACCAAACGCCUAUCGCCAAGGCCGGCGGGCGCCUGGCCCCACCUCCACACCCACCCACGCCCCCGCCCCCGCCUCCGCCUCCGCCUCUGCCCCUGCAGUUGGACGGGCGCUAUUCCAGCCAUAUGGCUAACGCGGCUGCAAAGACCGGGCAGGUGGGUCUCGUGGCGACGCCGAGCACUUGAGGCACCGGCUUACUUAGUAGGAGUCACCCUCUUGUGACACACUCCCCCCCCCACAGUUUCUACUUCCAAAGGUAGCCUAGCGUGUUCCCUGGCUCGUGAGCAAUGCAGUCCUUCAAAACCCACACGCUUCCACAGGUAGAUGUCAGGGACAACACACAGUCACACACACAAACACAUACACCCUCCCCAACACACACACACAUACACAUACACACACGCACACACACACAUAUACAUCCCCCCAGCACACACACACAAUCAAUUGCAACGGGCGGGCGCGCGCUUGCUAUUUGUUUCCCCUUGUAACAACACGUCCGCAGGUGGGUGUGCUGCGGCUGCUGCGGGAGCGCGGCUUCGAGCUGUCGGCGCAGCACCUGGAGGAGGCGCUGGCGUUCACGUCCUCAGACUUCAACAGGUGCGGAGGUGCGGGUGUGGAGGCGCAGGUGUGGAGGUGCGGGUGCGGGUGGGUGCGUUUACCUCGAUCGUCGCAUGUCAUCAACGGGUCCGGGCGUGUGCGUGGGUGGUGGGUGCAGGUGCGGCACCCGUACAUCUGUGCACCAGGUGCCAUUGUCACACCUGAUCACACCUGAUCACACCCGAUCACACCUGAUCACACCUGAUCACACCUGACCCCAGGUUCUAAGACCACUUGCACCAACCCCAACUUCGCACCUGUUCAGCAAUCUGUUCAACCCGCCCGCUGCCCGCCCGCCGCAACAUGCAGUCCCACGGAGACGGAGGGCCAGGGCCUGCCCUCGGUGCGCUACCUGGCCACCCUAGAGCUACCCGACAACGCCCUUGUGGGCGGGCUGGGACCGUUGGCGGGCGGCGGCAUCGGUGGCGCCGAACGCGGCGGGGGCGUCCGUGGUGGUGGCGGGGGCGGGGGCGGCGGGGGCGCGCUGGUGGGGGCUGUGGACUGGAGCGGUGUGUUUCGUGACGUGGCGGCGUGUGGCAGCGACCUGCAGCUGCUGCGACACCUGCACCACCGGGUGAGCUCGCGGGAGUAGGGGGGGCUCGGGGCGGGGUUGGAAUGUGUGUGUUUGUUAGGAGCGCGGUCGUACUGCGGGGCAUGUCGUGGCGUGAAUCCGGACAGCUGCUGUCAUGACUUUAUUUGUGACGUGCCUCCUGUGGGCCCGUACGAUCUCAUGUGUACCUGGAGAUUACAAGGGUAGAAAACACGCGAGGGCAUGAUUGUGUUUGUGACAUGUAUGUGUGUUUGUUUGUGACAUGCAGCGUGGCGCCGUGGUGAGCCUGGCGGCGGUGGCUCAGGGCGGCGGUGUGGAGGCGCUGGAGUGGGCGCUGCGGCAGCUGCCGGGGGCGGCGGCGGGGCUGCUGCCAGAGGUGAGUGCAGAGUAGCGGGUGGUGGUAGUGGGGGUGCUGUGUGUGGGGCAUUGUCGAUGGACGGCACGCUGGAGCUCCAUCCGUGCGUGCCGUGCAUGCAUCCGUGCACACACCAGGAAGCCACACACGCACGCGCACGCACGCACACACAUGCACAGGCGUCACAGGCGCCCAUCACUUGCACACAUACACACACCACAUUGACCCGCGCCCAACCGCCUCCCAACCGCCUCCCACCAACCACCUCCUACCAACCACCUCCCCAACCACCUCAACCUCCAACCACCUCUACGUACCUCCCCAACCGCCCGCAGCCGCUGUCCUCCCGCGACUUCACCACGGUCCUCAGCGCCGGCAACUGGGCCGCCGCCGACUGGCUGCUAGCGCGCGGCCUCGCGCCCACCAGACAGGAGCAGCUGCAGCGGCUCUUCGCCGCCUUAGCACCGGACAUGGGCGAGGCAGUGCUGGUCUGCGGCAUUCCGGCGCUUCGGUGGAUCGUGGCGCGAUCCGGGCUGCGAUGGACGGCCAAAUGUCGGGCGAUGCUCGUGAAGCUGAGGGUCAAGUUGACGCAGGGCGAGCUGUCUGUGUUUGUGGCGCCAGGGCAGGCGCGCUGGUUGGAGGAGAUGGUGGCGGCGGCGGACGUGGCGCUGCUGGCGAGUGGACGCGGGCGGGCGGGUGCUGGGGGUGCGGGUGGGGGUGCGGGUGGGGAUGCGGGUGUGGUGGCGGGUGCGGGUGCGGUGGCGGGGGCGACGGGAGCGGCGGACGGCUGAGGGUGUAGGGCGUGAGGUUGGAAUGGCAACGGCGUGGUGAGGAAGGGGAUGGAGGACACAGGGGGAAAGCGCUGGCUAAGCCGACACUGUGCGUGCAUGUGUGCGACUGAGUGCGUGUGUGACACGAUCAUGCAACCUCGGACCCCCGGUGCGCCGCGAUUGGAUUGGUACGGCCCGGCGUAAGUGUGUUGUGGUGUGUAUCGUGUACGGUGCCCUGGAGCUUCUUGGCACUGCUAACAUGAUUUGGUGCUGGACAACCCGGGUUCACUUCAGUUUGGGGCACCGUCCCAAAACUGGACAACCUUUGGACCCGUGUUUAGACGUGGUAGUACAGUCCGACGUGGAAACCAACCUUACCUACCCCGCCUGUCGUGUCAGAUUCACCGUCCGACUGUACUACCACUGCCGUACGGCCCUUCCCGUGCGGGGGGUCAUGGGGGUGGGCCGGGGGGGUUUCACGACGCCAAACUGGUCUCCCCUGAGUCCCCCACGCUCUCAGCCCCUCCGUACAUGUAGUAAUGACUUGCUGGUCAAGUGGGAGGGCGGUCCACGCUCGCCUGAGGUCGAAAUGGGCGGGUUUUGGCCCGCCAGCCAUGCACCCGAUGGGCGCGUGUCGGUCCGAUCGGGCCAAAGUGUGCUGGAGAGAGCAGUAACUCACUCAAUAUGUUAUUUAGAUACCCAAUAUUGCACUGGAAUGUACCCCGGGACAAAAUGCGAGGCUCUGCCGACCAGCAAUUUCGCGACCGGAGUCCCUCACACCGCCACAUUUUCAAUGCUAUAUCAUUGCCGUGUCUAUUAUUGACUAUACGGAGCACUUUGCACGGCUUUUCAAGGGCUAAACGCUGCCCUUCGUGCACGUUGUCGCGGCAUGUCGCUGCAUUUUGCGAGCUCGGCGAGCGGACAGGCCGCUCCAGGGACUAAAACAGCAAGUCAUAACAUAUAAACGUCAUGUAUAAGCAUUAGACGAGGUUUGGUCUUUGGACGGUGCGGCGUGUAUGGGCACGCCCCCGAGUGAACCCGGGUUGGUGCUGGAUAGGAUUGAUCUUCCUGCGGCGGGCGGGGCUGCGGGGUUGCAGGCCCGAGCGGAAGCACAGGUUCGCGGCUUCGCGUGCUUGCGGCUUGUGGGUAGGAUUGCCGGCGUGUUUGCAGGGGUGUCGGGUCCGGUACCGGUGGUGACGAGUGGCAGUGUGGCACGAAGCGUGGAUGGUCAAGAAGUGUUGUUACAGAGCAGUGGAGUUACCAGGUACCACUUUUAACAGUACCGCCUACCACUGUUACUGGGACGCACGCGCUUUCCCACCGGCGUGCCACCACUCGAGUAACGACCCGACGCCACACUCAGCCGCCUACCUAUCACGCGCUCUGACUCCCAGCCUCCCCGGCGACGGCGCCGCAAAUGACAGCGCGAUGGGUGGCCGUGUGGCGGCGUGCGCCAUACCUUGACUGUGAUGAGCCCCGCCCGGGCCCUGCCAACCGCCUCCACAUCUACUCACCACCCCG
rnacentral:lncRNA from 1 species